UAGGGAAUCUUCGGCAAUGGGGGGAACCCUGACCGAGCAACGCCGCGUGAGUGAAGAAGGUUUUCGGAUCGUAAAGCUCUGUUGUUAAGGAAGAACGAGUGUGAGAAUGGAAAGUUCAUGCUGUGACGGUACUUAACCAGAAAGGGACGGCUAACUACGUGCCAGCAGCCGCGGUAAUACGUAGGUCCCGAGCGUUGUCCGGAUUUAUUGGGCGUAAAGCGAGCGCAGGCGGUUAGAAAAGUCUGAAGUGAAAGGCAGUGGCUCAACCAUUGUAGGCUUUGGAAACUGUGUAACUUGAGUGCAGAAAGGGAGAGUGGAAUUCCAGGUGUAGCGGUGAAAUGCGUAGAUAUAUGGAGGAACACCGGUGGCGAAAGCGGCUCUCUGGUCUGUAACUGACGCUGAGGCUCGAAAGCGUGGGGAGCGAACAGG
rnacentral:rRNA from 1 species